UGGGUUACUGCUCAGACGACA
rnacentral:miRNA from 1 species